CGCCCUAUACGACUUCGAAGCAAGAGGUAAACAAAUACCUCGACAGGGGGUCCCAUAAAUUUUGGACCACAGUCCCAAUACACACAACUCAAUGAAGGGCUUAGAAAAUAAACUGAUUAUGUUGUACAAGAGAGCUACAUACCCACCCCACAAGUAAUCGAGGAGAGCUCCAUUCCCACCACCCAAGCCUACGAGGAGUGUUACAUUCCAACCUUCCAAACCUAUGAGGAGUGUUACAUUCCAACCAACUCUUCAUUUGCGGGACUUUCUGACGCCAAG
rnacentral:lncRNA from 1 species